CCAAGCAAGCAGAGAGCUUGUCUAUCUUUAUCAUUGAUCUUAGAACUGCAUAGUAGUAUAGAAUCCAAUUUAAACAAUUUUCUUAACAAUGAACUGAAUAGAAACUUUAACAUUAAUUUAUACUUUAAAAAGAAAAUUUAGGUUUUUUAUUUCACUCAAAAAAAAUGUAUAUUCACCAGGCAAUCUGUGACAACAAAGUUAGAUUGUCUCUAAUCUAAAAGUUACUAGAUGAUGGAUUUAUAACAACUCAUAAAUAUUUAGCUUAAUAAUAUUAAGAACUUGAAUUUGGGUCAUAUAAUCAUCAUGUAUUAUUACUCAAAUCAUAAAUUAGAAAAGACACAAUGAAUUUAUCAAGGAAUAAUUUCAUUUAAAUAGCCAUAUGAGAAUUUUCAGUUAUAAGUAAUAUUAAUAAAGAUGAAAGAAAAUAUCUACACAUGAAGACAACCAAGAAUUCAAAGUUCCAUAACUAAAAUGAAAGUUUUUAAAAU
rnacentral:lncRNA from 1 species